UUGUGGCGAGAGCAACCGAUGGAAAAAUUGUCGAAGAUUCUCAUAUGCAGUCAUGUCUACCUUUGGCAGGUAAUUAUUCAACCAAUUAGAUAAACUUUUGUUUCUAAUAUUCUUCGUUGUUAACAAUAUUAACUCAAUCAUUUAGGCACACUAUACCAAGAGAAACAGGACCUUGUGGAAGAAACAUCAAAGAAGACUAAAAUAACCCAAGCUAAGGACAAACAAGUAACUAAGGGUACAAAACUGAAAUACUAGAGAAAAACUAUUGUCAUUACAUAAACACUUAAUCUUUGAAGUGUGUUCUUGUAUGAUUGAUGGGGGUUUCUGUGCAACAUUAUCAGCAAAGAAGGCGAAGAAAAUGAAGUCUAAUAGCAUAUCUGAUCCAUCCCACCAACUUACUGAAGUGGUUGUCGAGCAUAACAAAGGUUAGUAUUCUACAUGAGACAAUGGUGUUAAUAGUUGUAAAUCAAAUCAUCAACGAUAUAGGAUAUUAUGCAAAUACAUUAUGUUUGUCAUUAACUAAUUUUAUUAAUAUUAUCAUCAACUUUUAGGCAAAAGAGUUCCACAAACACCAACACUCAAGUCAAGGAGUGGCAGAACAAUCAGGCGAAGAAUAUUGGACUAAUGAAGUGAAAGAUUUUAUGAGACUUUGAAGAAACUUUUGUAUGUACUUUGUACAAUUAUCUAGCUAUGACUUUUGGCUCUACUAGCAUUUUGAGGUUACCUUUUGUAUGUACAUUGUAUAUGCCUCGAUGCAGUUUUUGUUUAAUGUGAUAUGUAUAUAUAACGCG
rnacentral:lncRNA from 1 species